rnacentral:rRNA from 1 species
AUUUACAUUUGAGUGAGUGGCGAACUGGUGAGUAACACGUGGGAAACCUGCCCAGAAGCGGGGGAUAACACCUGGAAACAGAUGCUAAUACCGCAUAACAACUUGGACCGCAUGGUCCGAGCUUGAAAGAUGGCUUCGGCUAUCACUUUUGGAUGGUCCCGCGGCGUAUUAGCUAGAUGGUGGGGUAACGGCUCACCAUGGCAAUGAUACGUAGCCGACCUGAGAGGGUAAUCGGCCACAUUGGGACUGAGACACGGCCCAAACUCCUACGGGAGGCAGCAGUAGGGAAUCUUCCACAAUGGACGAAAGUCUGAUGGAGCAACGCCGCGUGAGUGAAGAAGGGUUUCGGCUCGUAAAACUCUGUUGUUAAAGAAGAACAUAUCUGAGAGUAACUGUUCAGGUAUUGACGGUAUUUAACCAGAAAGCCACGGCUAACUACGUGCCAGCAGCCGCGGUAAUACGUAGGUGGCAAGCGUUGUCCGGAUUUAUUGGGCGUAAAGCGAGCGCAGGCGGUUUUUUAAGUCUGAUGUGAAAGCCUUCGGCUCAACCGAAGAAGUGCAUCGGAAACUGGGAAACUUGAGUGCAGAAGAGGACAGUGGAACUCCAUGUGUAGCGGUGAAAUGCGUAGAUAUAUGGAAGAACACCAGUGGCGAAGGCGGCUGUCUGGUCUGUAACUGACGCUGAGGCUCGAAAGUAUGGGUAGCAAACAGGAUUAGAUACCCUGGUAGUCCAUACCGUAAACGAUGAAUGCUAAGUGUUGGAGGGUUUCCGCCCUUCAGUGCUGCAGCUAACGCAUUAAGCAUUCCGCC